rnacentral:pre_miRNA from 1 species
UGUUUAAUAUAAGUAUGUCCCAUGCAACAUUCAGGACAUACUUAUAUUAAAA